GCUUGUCUCAAAGAUUAAGCCAUGCAUGUCUAAGUACAAGCCUCAGUAAGGUGAAACCGCGAAUGGCUCAUUAAAUCACACCUAAUCUACUGGAAAGUUACUAGUUACUUGGAUAACUGAGGUAAUUCUUGAGCUAAUACAUGCGAAAAAUCUCGACUCACGGAGAGAUGCUUUUAUUAGAUCAAAACCAAACGGCUUCGGCCGUCUCAUUGGUGACUCUGAAUAACUUUGGGCUGAUCGUAUGGCCUUGUGCUGGCGGUGCUUCAUUCAAAUAUCUGCCCUAUCAACUGUCGAUGGUAGGAUAGAGGCCUACCAUGGUUGCAACGGGUAACGGGGAAUAAGGGUUCGAUUCCGGAGAGGGAGCCUGAGAAACGGCUACCACAUCCAAGGAAGGCAGCAGG
rnacentral:rRNA from 1 species